rnacentral:rRNA from 1 species
GACGAACGCUGGCGGCAUGCCUAACACAUGCAAGUCGAACGAGACCUUCGGGUCUAGUGGCGCACGGGUGCGUAACGCGUGGGAAUCUGCCCUUGGGUUCGGAAUAACAGUUGGAAACGACUGCUAAUACCGGAUGAUGACGUAAGUCCAAAGAUUUAUCGCCCAAGGAUGAGCCCGCGUAGGAUUAGCUAGUUGGUGAGGUAAGGGCUCACCAAGGCGACGAUCCUUAGCUGGUCUGAGAGGAUGAUCAGCCACACUGGGACUGAGACACGGCCCAGACUCCUACGGGAGGCAGCAGUGGGGAAUAUUGGACAAUGGGCGAAAGCCUGAUCCAGCAAUGCCGCGUGAGUGAUGAAGGCCUUAGGGUUGUAAAGCUCUUUUACCCGGGAUGAUAAUGACAGUACCGGGAGAAUAAGCUCCGGCUAACUCCGUG